ACGACCACAAACAAGCAGAAGACAUACAUCGCUAGAGCGACGCUAGUGUCGUCGUUGUUGUUGUUAUUCUUACCUAAGAACAAGGCGUCAUAAUGAUGCUUGUUAAUGGUUGAAAUCGUUGAUCAUCAUCUUCAUCGUGGUGGUGGCGGCGGCAAUUGUGGCGCCGUUGCCACUGGUGCGGUGUUGAUAAUGAAAUGAUUUUAGAAAUGGCAAUGAUAAUACUAGAUAUUUGAAUAUUUGACCUGAAGCUAUGGGAGCGCCUUUCAAACAAUUUCGAGUGUCGUCGUUGCUAUGCUUAGACGACUGUAGUAACUUAUUCUGAAGUUCCUGCCUUUCAUCGAACUAAACUCUAGUCGUAAAUGUUCGCCGUUGUGGGAAUCGUGUGGAAGUUUAGUUCUGCAUCCCACAUACUGGUCGAGGUCUUGGAAUGUCAAGGAAAUGGGAAUCGACUUGGCAGGUAUACUUAAAGGUUUGCCCAUCUUAAAAGUGAACGAGUAGAGUAAUAGCUAAAGGCUUGCUUUUCUUCGUGUCGUCAGUUACGAAAGCAAAAGAGCCAAACAACGUGAAACUCUGAGCGAACAACAGUAAACAGCGAUGGACGUUAAUGCUGGCUGAUUUGCGGCUGCACAGUAGCGACUGAUGAUCAGUUUCGAUGAGGAUGACCGAAGAUAUCGAUGAAGACCCAAAAACACAACUAGUCGAUCCCGACUAAGGCAAAACGAACGACAUGAGGACGAUCUUGAGAGUGGUUGACCGGCUGUUGCCGAUAGUCAGUGCCAAUCUAUCCGCUACUACCUUGAGAGAAACUCAUCUUCUUUGUACGUGCAUAGGGUUGCUGUGCCCGUAGGACGAAGGCGGACAUAGCUGAAGCAAUAGUUGAAGGGUCCAUCGAUCGACAGAAGCCGAAGGGAGUGGCGGGCAGUGGACGCGGAAAGAGAUGAACGACUCAUUUUGUAUCACCCAGCGGCUGCGGAAGCGGCGGUGCUCGGAGGUCCCUGGCUGGCGGUCGACGCACCAAGGUCCUCGACAGGACUCAACAACGACAGCUACUCCAAAAAGAUCGGCAGCGUAUAAUAAGAGCAGCAGAAAAGGCGACGAACAACAACAACAACGAUGGCGACAUGAGGAAAGCAAGUAUAUAAAUAUAAGUGCAUACAAAGAUGCGUCCGAAUCGCACUGACCAACAUAACAAACACUAAACUGAAGAACAAAUCGAGUCGAAAUUUAGCCGACAAACGAUGCUGCUAUGAAGAAAAACGGGUGCAAAUACAGUGGCAAAAUCAAAGGCGGCUUUAUCCCCAUUGGGAAUGAUGUAUCUCUUCGCGAUUCAUCAAACCAUGUAGAAACCAUGUUGCAGUGCGCCAACCUAUGGCUGACUCGUGUAUUACAGCUAGAUAAACCAGCCUCGGUAGCUUACAGGCAACUUACCUGCCUUACGUCAGACGUCCAGAUACGUACACACACCGGCCUCCGCGGAUUCCUACUGCACGCGCUGAUUGGUAGUCAUUACGCGGUCGUCUUCGUCAUCAUUGUUCAAAUGUAUGAAACUGGUUUACUGGCGAGCUGUUAUGGCGUGUUUCGGCCGCGACUGUUACCGGGCGGUAGCGGCAGGCAGGCAGGCAGGUAAUCUGUUUGUUGCGAAAUGGAUACUUUGGAGGAAGACCAGUUUCGGAAUCGCUUGCUACUCCAUUGGAAGUCUAGGAUACUCGAAGGAGGCAAUUCGAUAAGCUGUGCCUUGGGCAGUUAUUGCUAAAUGUACUUUCUAUAACGCGCCUAUACAAUUCGAACGGAUAGUGGUCUAGUGGGUUAUAGGGCACGCUUAUAUGACGGGGUUAUGCAUCCGGACACUUUUCUAUAUUCGGCUUCUUCAUCCCUUCCGUUCGGUGUUUCCACGGAGACCGAGCCAGCGGUGCCCCACGGUGGAACACACAGGAGUACCCCAGCUACUUAGAUGAGACAAGGCGCAUUGGCAGUGCCGUUCAUCUCAAAACCAGAAGCAGCCACAUCAGCGUUAACAUAAAGCUUGAUCUAUAUCCGAAAUAAAUCUAAAUUUGAACGCAGAAGAAAGAAGAGCUUAAUCCGAGUUCGAUCGGGAUAUCGACCGCAGUUCGGUCGAGCGAAAAAAACCGAAUGAAAAGAAGUAAUCGACUAGCAACUGUAACCGCGGUAGCAUAGCAUCGGUAGCUGAUAACCUGCGCGUUUGGAUUGGUCAGCCAACGACCGACGAGAGUUUGUCGUCGCCGCCCGCCUCUUUGAGCUGUGCUCAUGUGUGUAUGUGACUUCCGUGCUUAAAUGCUGCUAUCUGGUUUGACGAUUCUUCUUUUAGAACCGAUAUGUCCAGGCGACACUUAGUUCCAUUGAAUCCAGCUUUCUUACCACUUCAAGUCGACGUGGCUUGCGACGUUUGCCAGUGAAUCUCCUUCGUUCUUUUGUGCCAUUUUCGUUGGACUGCUCACUCCCAGCGUGCGAAGUGUGUGAUACUUGUUGAAUCGAAGUUUUGGUUACACGACCCUUCUGGACGGCUUGUGGCGGCCGACUGUCGAAAGCCUGCCACAAACGCGAAGCAGCGUUGCCUUAACUAGUUGCAGGCUAUCUGUGGCGUCGACUCGGCAGACGUACUGAUCCGGCUAAUUCUGAGCAAUGGCGAAAUCACCUAAGGCGGUAGAUCUCUCCGGCUAAAGCGCGUUCUUAGCGCACUCACACGCUCUCACUAGCGUUAGAUUGCAAGCUAAAUCACUUUAAAGGAUAUGCUACAGUUGUGCGCUUCGUACUUUGAAACUAAUUCUAUGGCGUUACUUGUCACGCCAUUUCGAACGCUGAAAUGAAUGCAGCCGCUCGUCUGAUACUGAUCUAUGCGAAAUUACAAACGCAUCGGAAUUAUUAGAGGGUGACAAAUGCUAAAGGUCAAUGAACGUCGCUGUAGACAGAGAUUUCUAUCGGCAACGCGGUAAACAGGUGUUUUUUUUCUAAUCGCUUUUAGGAGCACUCAACGCAUUACUUCGAUGAUCGCAUAAAAAUGAUUUAAUAAUCCUAUUUACGUACCGGGUGGCAGUUGCCGUUCGACGUGUACAGCGUCCUUGGAGUCUAUGAAAGCGUUUUUUUGUAUACGCUUUUGACCCGAGUGUCCUUUGGUAAAACCAAGUCUACGCAUAGAAGUAGAACAAACCGGGACGCUUUCGCCAUGAACGCAGACAAAAAUCUAACAUAGUAUAGGGUGCAUGCUAACGUUGAAUUUUAUUUUACGAAUUAAAAACAAUAACAAUAAUAUCAUGACACUAGAUUUGCAUGUUAGACAAUGGCUGCGUAUGCUGUACGGUAUGAAAUCGCCGCAAAAAGGAAUUGCGUCAUGUCAACAAGCAAAUGUUACGCCUCUUGAGCGUCGCUUAUUGGAAACACUUUUUGUCGGGCUUAAACAAUAGAAGUAGCAAACCCAAUCCGAACUGACGUGCGAAGGUAUCUGACAGCCAGUGUAGCUCAAUGAUGAAUCUAUAUCGUACAGUUAGAUGAUAAUUGUUAAACACGUCGUAUCUCGUUAUUGCAUCGUGAAUAUAUUUCGAAGAAGUACUUAGUCCGCUCGUUUGUUGUAGGGCCGCGUUUUCGUUCAUUUUCGUUAUGGCUAGAAAAAUUGCCGAGUACUUCAUCACGCCCGUUUCGAAAUAAUUCUGUCCCCUGAGCUGUCUUUAGCGCGCAUGUUUGAACUUGAAAAAAAGAACCAGGUGUUAUGUUAAUUGAAGUUUAUAUUCGAUUGUCCGUCCGCUUGUUGCCACCAUUUACUUGACCUAUAAAGCUUAUUAUAUUGUGUAUGAAAUAAUUGUAUUAUUUAUGCUCAUCACCGUUUUCACGGGAGGCAUCUUCCCGUGCUUCAACUUUCAAUUGUCAGAACUAUUUUCAAGUGGUUACUUUGUGCCAUCUUAAAACUAACAAGCAAACUCGUAAUUUUUACCCGACGGUGCUUCAGUCGGGUUAGUAUUCAAACGCGAUUUUAUUAAGUGUCUAUUACGAUGGCGUC